CUCUGCUCUGGGUCAGGGAGCAUGUCCCUGAGGAAAUGGGCGGGGGCUGAGGCUUGGUGAGUGAGGCGGAAUACUCAAGCCUGGUGCCGGGGAGGAGAGCCUGGCAGACAGAGCUCUGGGUAGAGUCUGGGUAGAGGGACCUGUGGUGGGAGAAAGAGAGAAGAUCAGAGUGGAGGGGAGAAGCAGGGUUGGGGCCUUGAAGGUACUGCUGAGCAUGUGGGUCCUUAUCCUUACCCUGCAUUGCCCGCAGGCCUGACCUUUGCUUCAUUCUUCAUGGCUGCCAAGUGAGAGUGUGGCCCCUGCAGAUGGUUGGAUCAUCCAUCCAGUUCUUUGCUUCCUCUAGCUGAUAUCCUUCUUUGCUGUACUAUAUGGGAAAAGCAAGAAAUAUUUGACACCAAAAUUGCUUCCUUUGUGUGGCCCCGUAUUGCCCUGUAUAGAAGCAUUUCGUCUUCACAACAACUCUAUGAGAACAUGAGCACACAGUGAGAUGGCAGCCAUCUGCAGGCCAGGAGGAGUGCCCUCUCCAGGAACUCAAUCUGCCGGCCCUUGACCGUGAACUUCCCAGCCUCCAGAGCCAUGAGAAGUAAAUGUCUGCUGUUUAAGCCACCCAGUCUAUGGUAUUUUGUAAUCGCAGCCUGAGCACAGUAAGACAAGGGGUAGUGCUUUUUAAUCAAAUCAAUUUUGAAAAUGCCCCAUACAGUACUAUCUUCCUAUCUUAAAG
rnacentral:lncRNA from 10 species